rnacentral:misc_RNA from 1 species
AACGCACGAGACCUGCGGACCUGCGGAAGGAUCAUUAACGAGUUAGGGUCUACUCGGCCCGACCUCCCAACCCUUUGUUUAACAAACCUGUGUUGCUUCGGCGUGCCCGUCUUCGGACCGCCGGAGGACCGUUAUACGUCCUCUGGCCCGCGCCCGCCGAACGCCCAACCACAAAACUCUUGCUAUGAAUCGUGUCAUUGUCUGAGUAAAACAUUUAAUUAAAGCAAAACUUUCAACAAC